rnacentral:lncRNA from 1 species
AUGAUACACAGUGAAUUUAUUCACCACAUGAGAAAGUGGAGCACCAAAGGUUGGCACCCCUUGGUCCUUCUCACGUCCCUUGGUCCCCUAUUUAAAUGGGCCAUCCCAUAUGGCCAGGUGCUAGGUUUUUGGGUGGAAACCAGAGAUAAGAGGCAUAUAAAUCAGAAAAAAAAUUUUAGAAAAAUUUGAGAAAAAGACAAGAAAAAAUUGAGAGGCAA